rnacentral:rRNA from 1 species
UACGUAGGGUCCGAGCGUUGUCCGGAUUUAUUGAGCGUAAAGAGCUCGUAGGCGGUUCCGUAAGUCAGAUGUGAAAACUCAGGGCUCAACCCGGAGACGCCAUCUGAUACUGCGGUGACUGGAGUCUGGUAGGGGAACACGGAAUUCCUGGUGUAGCGGUGAAAUGCGCAGAUAUCAGGAGGAACACCGAUGGCGAAGGCAGUGUUCUGGGCCAGUACUGACGCUGAGGAGCGAAAGCGUGGGGAGCAAACAGG